rnacentral:rRNA from 1 species
UACAGAGGGUGCAAGCGUUAAUCGGAAUUACUGGGCGUAAAGCGCGCGUCGGUGGUUUGUUAAGUCGGGGGUGAAAGCCCGGGGCUCAACCUCGGAAUUGCCUUCGAUACUGGGUAUCUUGAGUUCGGGAGAGGUGAGUGGAAUGCCGAGUGUAGAGGUGAAAUUCGUAGAUAUUCGGCGGAACACCAGUGGCGAAGGCGACUUACUGGACACAUAUUGACGCUGAGGUGCGAAAGCGUGGGGAGCAAACAGG